rnacentral:lncRNA from 1 species
UAUUAUAACGCAGAGUUUAGGGCAGCCCGGGCGGGCAAGUCGCGCCUGCGGCUGGGAUCGCUCCUUCUUCUUCGGGCAGCUCUUUCGGCGUCUGGGAUCGCCCCUUUGUCUCCCGGUUUUCCCCUUUGUGUGCCCGCCUUCUAAAGUUCGUCCGGCCCUGCCCGUCGCAAUGUAACAAUCUGCCCUGAUCCAGUACAAACUACAAAGGUGUAAAAGUUAUCUUUAUCUCCUCUUCUCUCUCCUGUUUGCUGCCCUAUUUUCUCUUCUCUCCUCUUCUCUUUUAUAUCUUCUCAAAUUCCAUCAAUCUUCUCAAUCAUAUCUCCGACAAACUCAACAGGUUAUUUUUAUCUCCUCUUCUCUCUCCUGUUUGCUGCCCUAUUUUCUCUUCUCUCCUCUUCUCUUCUUCUCCAUCAUAUCGGAACUCAAAAGGUUAUCUUUAUCUCCUCUUCUCUCUCCUGUUUGCUGCCUUAUUUUAUCUUCCAUCAAUCUGAUUGUUUUUUUUCAGUAAUUGUUUUUUUUUUUAUGAUGUUGUUUUUAGUCGACAAUUUGAUAGCUUUACCUUAAUUUUCAAUUUACUAUUUUCUCUUCCAUCAAUCUGAUUGUAUUUUUUCAGUAAUUGUUUUUUUUUUUUUAUGAUGUUGUUUUUAGUCGACAAUUUGAUAGCUUUACCUUAAUUUUCAAUUUAGAAUCCUUAAUAUUCUUUCUCCACCAAUAAUCUCUGUUAAGUCAAUCAUUUCAAUUUAAUUUUUUUUUGUUAAAUAAUUAGUUUAAUUACGGUAUUUUUCUUAGUGUAGAGUUUGUUUGGAAAUCAUUGUGAUUGUACAAUUAUUUGCCUCUAUUGAAUCAGCUCUCGAUUUUUAUUUAAUAGUUCUCCCGCUUUGGAAUUUAUAUAGUAUGUGCCCUUGAUUUCUUUUUUCUAUUUGUUCUUUCAUAAACCUUGAUUGCAAAUUGUGUGCGCCCAAUUUAUGCAACUUUGUUGCUGAGUUUAAUAGUUGCUGACUUUAUUAAAUAGAGACUUAGUUGUAUUUAGGCAUUUAAUCGUAAUUGCUGAUUUACAAUUGUUCCUUUAUUUUGAUUUCAUUGCAGUUGCUCCUCAGUCUCUUCCGCGUCCCUCGCAUUCACCUCAGGUUCUUCCCAACUUAUUCGUUCCUGUAUUUAUAUAUGGUAUGCAUAUAUGAGCCUUUAGAUUUAUCUUUAAGAUCUCUGGCCCUUUAGGUUGUUUUUAUAUAUGUUUAGUUUCACAUGAUUCUGUCUUCCUUUUAAUGAACCUUUAGAUUUGGUAUAUAUACAUUAUCUAUAUAUAUGAACCUUUAGAUUUGGUCUUGAAUAUUAUUCUUUAUUGGAUUCACAAAUCCCCCCUUCCGGGGAGCACCUCAUGGUUUUGCUAAUAUUAUUUGGUUUCCACACGGCAUCAUACAUUUUGCUCCUGCUGUUUCUGAAUUAAAUUUUCCCCUGUUUUCGUAGUUUCACAUAUUUGGUUUAUAUACGACGUCCUCAGCUAGAAGAGCAAGGGAGGCUCUUUCCCGAGUUCCCCCUGUUGUUGCUGCCCCUCUUGCUUCCUCUGCGCUUGGUUCGGAAUCUGCUGUCCUUCAGAAUCUUCCUAGGUUUGUCUUCUGUACUUUGAGUCCUUCUCAGUUUUUUCCCACCCCGGUUUGGAUUUCAGGUUUUUGUUUUGGUUAAGCAGCUUGCAACCUCUACGGUUUCCAUCUGCGACUUCGAUUCCAUCUACCUCAGGUGUUGUGCGGGAUGUCCCUUUUUUUAUUAUGUGUUGUAAGUGUUUUCCUUCCCCAUGUUGUUUUCGGUUUUGAUAGACCGCAUCAUCUGUUUUGUUGUUCCUGUAUUAUUACUUCAUUCAGGGUCCCAGUCGCAACUUCUUCCCAGAUAAUUUCUGAUCCGUUCCAUUGUAUUAAUUCUUCUGAACGUCGUUCCCUAGGCCAACGAAUUGCAAUUUCUCCUCAGAUUUUACACCCAACAAUUGUGUAUUUGCAAUUUCUCUUCGGAUUCGACAAUUUUGCUUUUGCCCAAGGUGAGGCUUAUUUGUAAUUUGUAAUUUGCUAUUUACAUUUAUUCUUUUACUAUGAGAUACGUUUAUUUGUAAAUGCUCAUUUACAAUUAUUUCACUACUGUGGUUUCAUCAUCAAAUGAGCUUCCCUUUGUCGUGUGAGUUUUCAAUUUACAAUUUCCAAGGUCAGUAUUCCAUUGUCAUUUGCUAUUUAUUGUUUUGUUCUGCUAAUUAUAUAUACUCCAUUAUUCUUCUCUCAUGAGUUCACUUUCAAAUUUAUUUGAUUUUCCAAAUUCCUCAAAAUAUUGAUAUUGUAUUUCUCUUUCAAAGUAAGUCCUUCUUCCAAAAAAUUUGCCCUUAGUUUGGUAAUAAUGGUUUGACAAAACUGAAAAGCUUAGCCAGUUAUGAUUAGUGAUAGACGAACGAGAAAAAUGUUCGGAUAGACAAAAACACCAUGUUGUAGUAGGAUUUAGUAAUUACUUGCCACACUAUUGACCAUUGAACUUGAUCGUGGACAUUUCCUUAUUAUUGAUAUAAAAUCUCACCAUCAUUUUAUUUAAUAUUGCAAAUAUCUGCACGCACAAAGGGAGUGGACUGGACUGGGAGCAAUUGAGGUAUGUCCUAUGUGACUAUGUCUCCCUACCCCUGAUCGCAUACAUGUUUUGUAUAAAAGCAAUGAGGAAAAGAAUGAAACUAGAUAAUAGGUCUGUAACCAGCUACAAGAGUUGCUAGAUGCACAUUAAUUCCUUUUGGUGCAAAAUAUUAUCUCAACUGACAAGAAAUGGCUUCUACGAACUGAAGACGAGUUGAUCAACAGAUAGCUUUUCGUACCCCUGCUCUCUUUAAGGUCAAUUCAAGCCCUAUUGGUCAUGUUUUGGCCCUUCCCCUUAUAUACUUUUCUCAUAGCAAGGUAUUUUAAUGUGAGUUAUAUGUCCAAGGCAUUUCAGCAUUCAUUGGCUAGGUAUGCAUCCCUGGUCAUGUCUGCCAAGUCCCUGUCGAAGACAUUGUAGUUUCAAGGCUGUGAUCUUUGGCUUUAGAUAUGUAGCACAGGUGAGGUCAUGAGAAUUGAUUAUGAGUUCCUGUUGCAUUUGCUAAGGCUCAGAUAGCUGCUGCCAGAGGCUACAAACUUUUGGCUUGAGUGAUUGACGAAGCAACGUCUGCCCACUAUAGACUUGCCAAACAUUUGUGGGUGUUUAGCUACCAAAACAAAUAUUGACUAAAAGGUAACAUAGAUAAACUAAUAUGAUUUAAAAUUCAUAUGCGAACAAAUAUUUAGUUUACAAGUGAUUACUAUGUUCAGGAGUUUGUUCAAAAUUGAAUUGUUGUCAUCUGCUACAUAUUGUAUGAGAUACUAAUCUAAUUUGAUUGUCAAAUAGGAUAAUGAUUUUCUCUGUGGUCAUGAUAUUCUAAGCUUUUUUAAGAGACCUUCAUUUGUAAUGUUUUUUUAGCAUGAUAUAUACAAGCUGCCAAUGGGUAUUCCCUUCGCAUGAAGCAAAUCUUAUUUUUCACAGUGAAAUCUACCAUUUAUUUUUAUACUUCC